GUGAGCUUUUAGCUAGAAUACAGGCGUAAGAAGGGUUCAAAUCGACUGGCAUUCAAAACAGGGCAGUCAAAUUGUAAACGCCAAGCGUAUCGACUGCUAGCCUGCGCGUAGCAGUCGCUUUAUUUUAUUGAAGGUUUUGUUGAACAAAUGUUUUUCUAACCCGCCAUUUAUUCAAAAUCCUCAAAACCUUCAAUAAAAUAAACAGACUGCUACGCAAGCUAAUCGAUAAUUUGAGUAUCAGGCUCUAUCGCCGCCAAUUAAUCCUGGCGAAUGAAAACAUAAGGGCCUGAUACUCAGGUUAGCUAAUCAAUCGCUUGUACUCGAAAGAUUGGAAAUAGUGAUUGUUCCCCCCCCCCCCUCCUCUCAAAGCAUGCGUGGAAGAACUUUUAGCAAGGUGUAAUAUAAAUGAUCUUUUACGAAAAUAUAAUUGUUGAAGAUUAAGCGGAACACUAUUUUUUAAAUUUUUUCCCCUUUGUACAGCUUUGUUAAUAUUUACAAAUAUUUUCUAAUAUUUAAUAAUAUUGGGCUAGGGACCUACUAGAAACCCUUAACAGGCUUUUUAAUUUAGGCCCCUAGUUAUAGUUCAUUGUUAUCUAUUAAUUAAUAUAUUUACAGUAAAAUCAGAAAAACAAUUAUCUUAGAGUGUAUUAUUUACAAAAGGAAGGAAAGAACUAUAAAGCAAAAUAAUUACAGUACCAAUAUACUCAUAUAUAAAGGCA